AACGCUAGCUACAGGCUUAACACAUGCAAGUCGCGGGGCAGCAUGUAUCUGGCUUGCCAGAUACGAUGGCGACCGGCGCACGGGUGAGUAACGCGUAUCCAACCUGCCCAUAACCACGGCACAGCCCGUCGAAAGGCGGAUUAAUGCCGUAUGAGGUUCCGGCGUAGCAUUAUGAUGGAACGAAAGGAUUGGCGGUUAUGGAUGGGGAUGCGUCCGAUUAGCUUGUUGGCGGGGUAACGGCCCACCAAGGCGACGAUCGGUAGGGGUUCUGAGAGGAAGGUCCCCCACACUGGAACUGAGACACGGUCCAGACUCCUACGGGAGGCAGCAGUGAGGAAUAUUGGUCAAUGGGCGUAAGCCUGAACCAGCCAAGUAGCGUGCAGGACGACGGCCCUAUGGGUUGUAAACUGCUUUUUCGCGGGGAUAAAGAGGGGGAUGCAUCCCCCGUUGCAGGUACCGCGUGAAUAAGGACCGGCUAAUUCCGUGCCAGCAGCCGCGGUAAUACGGAAGGUCCGGGCGUUAUCCGGAUUUAUUGGGUUUAAAGGGAGCGCAGGCCGUAUGGUAAGCGUGUUGUGAAAUGCCGUGGCUCAACCAUGGCACUGCAGCGCGAACUGGAUGACUUGAGUUCGCGGGAGGUAGGCGGAAUUCGUGGUGUAGCGGUGAAAUGCUUAGAUAUCACGAAGAACUCCGAUUG
rnacentral:rRNA from 1 species